AUAGCAUAUCAAUAAGCGGAGGAAAAGAAACCAACAGGGAUUGCCCUAGUAACGGCGAGUGAAGCGGCAGCAGCUCAAAUUUGAAAUCUGGCCUUCUGGUCCGAAUUGUAAUUUGUAGAGGAUGCUUUGGGCGCGGUGCCUUCCGAGUUCCUUGGAACAGGACGCCUUAGAGGGUGAGAGCCCCGUACGGUUGGACACCAAGCCUAUGUAAAGCUCCUUCGACGAGUCGAGUAGUUUGGGAAUGCUGCUCUAAAUGGGAGGUAAAUUUCUUCUAAAGCUAAAUACCGGCCAGAGACCGAUAGCGCACAAGUAGAGUGAUCGAAAGAUGAAAAGUACUUUGAAAAGAGGGUUAAAUAGCACGUGAAAUUGUUGAAAGGGAAGCAUUUAUGACCAGACCUUUGCUAGGUGGAUCAUCCGGUGUUCUCACCGGUGCACUUCGCCUAGCUUAGGCCAGCAUCGAUUUCUGUAGGGGGAUAAAGGUCUAGGGAACGUAGCUCUCUACGGAGAGUGUUAUAGCCCUGGGCGUAAUACCUUUACGGGGAUCGAGGUUCGCGCUUCGGCAAGGAUGCUGGCAUAAUGGUCAUCAAUGACCCGUCUUGAAACACGGACCAAGGAGUCGAACAUUUAUGCGAGUGUUUGGGUGUUAAACCCUCACGCGUAAUGAAAGUGAACGGAGGUGAGAGCCCUUAAGGGUGCAUCAUCGACCGAUCCUGAUGUCUUCGGAUGGAUUUGAGUAAGAGCAUAACUGUUCGGACCCGAAAGAUGGUGAACUAUGCGUGGAUAGGGUGAAGCCAGAGGAAACUCUGGUGGAGGCUCGCAGCGGUUCUGACGUGCAAAUCGAUCGUCAAAUCUGCGCAUGGGGGCGAAAGACUUAUCGAACCAUCUAGUAGCUG
rnacentral:rRNA from 1 species